GUCAAGGGAUCAAAGGAGAAAUUCGGUAAGAGAUUGGCUCGCGUUCAAUUAGUUAGUUGGUGUGAUAACACCCCACCAAGGCGACGAUUAGUAGCCGUCAUGAGAGGGCGAUCCGCCACAUUGGCGAUGCGAAACCCUCCAUCCUCCUACGGGCGGCAGCAGUGGAUAAUAUUCGACAAUGGGCGACAUCAUGCCCCAGCACCGCCGCGUGAGGGAAGACGUUUUUCGGGUAGUCAUCUUUUAUCAUAUAGGACGAGGAAGAUGCCGGUCCCAUAGGAGGAAGCCCCGGUUAAUUACGUCCCACCACCCGCGGUAAUACUUAGGGGCCAAGCUUUUUCCGGAAUGUUUGGGGGUAAAAGGUGUGUAGGCGUCUUGAUAAUUUUGGAGUGAAAGUCCUGCUUCCAAGCUGGGUAUUCCUUUGGUUAGUGCUAGGUUUGAGUCCAUGAGAGGGAAGGGAAUUUACCGGGGUAGCGGUGAAAUGGCUAGUAUUCGGUAGGAAACACCAGUUGGCGAAGGCGGCUUUCUGGAUUGAAACUGACGCUGAGGCGCGACAGCGUGGGGAGCAAACAGGAUUAGAUACCCUCGUAGUCCCACGCCGUAAGCGAGGAGUGCUAAGUGUUAGAGGGUUUCCGCCCUUUAGUGUUGCAGCUAACGCAUUAAGCACUCCGCGUGGGGAGUAGGACCGCAAGGUUGAAACUCAAAGGAAUUGACGGGGGCCCGCACAAGUGGUGGAGCAUGUGGUUUAAUUUGAAGCAACGCGAAGAACCUUAGCAGGUCUUGACAUCGUCUGUCAUUCCUAGAGAUAGGACGUUCCCCCUCGGGGGACAGAGUGACAGGUGGUGCAUGGUUGUUGUCAGCUGGUGUAGUGAGAUGUUGGGUUAAGUCCCGCAACGAGCGCUACC
rnacentral:rRNA from 1 species